AGCUUUGCGCAGUGGCAGUAUUGUAGCCAAUGAGGUUUAUCCAAGGUGCGAUUAUUGCUAAUUGAAAAAAUCCCCAUACAAUAAAGUUUGUAUUCUAGCUGAAAUAAUACUGGUGAUUAUCUUGUGAAGAGUGAAAAAAGAUA